rnacentral:rRNA from 1 species
UCGGGAAUUUUGGGCAAUGGGCGAAAGCCUGACCCAGCAACGCCGCGUGAAGGAUGAAGUAUUUCGGUAUGUAAACUUCGAAAGAAUAGGAAGAAUAAAUGACGGUACUAUUUAUAAGGUCCGGCUAACUACGUGCCAGCAGCCGCGGUAAUACGUAGGGACCAAGCGUUGUUCGGAUUUACUGGGCGUAAAGGGCGCGUAGGCGGCAAUUCAAGUCAUCUGUGAAAUCUCCGGGCUCAACUCGGAACGGUCAGAUGAUACUGCUUUGCUAGAGUGCAGAAGGGGCAAUCGGAAUUCUUGGUGUAGCGGUGAAAUGCGUAGAUAUCAAGAGGAACACCUGAGGUGAAGACGGGUUGCUGGGCUGACACUGACGCUGAGGCGC